rnacentral:rRNA from 1 species
UACGUAGGGUGCAAGCGUUGUCCGGAAUUAUUGGGCGUAAAGAGCUCGUAGGCGGUCUGUCGCGUCGGUCGUGAAAACUUGGGGCUUAACCCUGAGCUUGCGGUCGAUACGGGCAUGACUGGAGUUCGGCAGGGGAGACUGGAAUUCCUGGUGUAGCGGUGAAAUGCGCAGAUAUCAGGAGGAACACCGGUGGCGAAGGCGAGUCCCUGGACAUCUCCUGACACUGAGGCACGAAAGCUAGGGGAGCAAACAGG